GGAGGGCUCCCAGACCCUGAGGAUACUGUGCUAUGAAAAGUGUUACAACAAGAUGAAGAUCCCCAAGGAGGAUGGCGAGAGCACGGACAGACUCAUGGGGAAGGGCCAGGUCCAGACCCCUGCCCUUGGGGCCUGCCAGGGACCUCUGCCCUCAUGGUUGGAUCUGGACACUCCUAGGAUGCUGCAGCUUCUCUACCUGCUGCAACUGCCUCACCUCACGGGAGGGUCUCUCUACUCAACUUCUGAGUCAAGGUACAUAAGCAGGGUGGGGGCUGUAGGCCCCUGUAGCUGGCUGCAGAGAGCCAAGCGCCUCCCACACGGUACAGCACAGAAGGCACCUGGUGUCACUGGGAAAAGCCCAGAUUCAAAAAGGCUGGGCUCCGGAGUCAUGCACAUUCUCUCUCAGGUAUCCCUGUGCAGAAAACAGUGUCCAUGGGGGAGAAAGAGGCCAGGCUGGUGUCGCAGAGCGCCAAUGGCAUAGUCACCGCGACUCCUCCGACUUCCUUCCUCCUGGGAUCCCACAAACAAGCCCCCCAGCUGGGAGCCUGGAACUCCAGGGACCAGGGCAGCCGCCACCUACUUGGCGUGAGUCAUGAAUGCCCUUCACACAGUGAUCAGAUUCCUUCCUGUCUAGCCAC
rnacentral:sRNA from 1 species